rnacentral:rRNA from 1 species
AUUCCAGCUCCAAUAGCGUAUAUUAAUGUUGUUGCAGUUAAAAAGCUCGUAGUUGAAUAUCUGGGCUCAACUUUCGGUCCGGGGCCUUGUGUCCUGCGUACUGUUCUUGUUGAGUCCAUCUUAGUAGUGAAUGUUACUGGCAUUAACUUGUUGGUUGCGGGAGCUGCUUCGUUUACUGUGAAUAAAAUAGAGUGUUUAAAGCAGGCAUUACGCCUUGAAUACUUCAGCAUGGAAUAAAAUUAUAGGACUUAGUUGCCAUUUUAUUGGUUUGCGCAAUUGGUAAUGAUUAAUAGGGACAGUUGGGGGUAUUCAUAUUUGAUUGUCAGAGGUGAAAUUCUUGGAUUUAUGAAAGAUGAACUUAUGCGAAAGCAUUUACCAAGGAUGUUUUCAUCA